UUUUUGUUUUUUUUUUUUUUUUGAGAUGGAGUCUGGCUCUGUCGCCCAGGCUGGAGUGCAGUGGCCCGAUCUCAGCUCACUGCAAGCUCCACCUCCCGGGUUUAUGCCAUUCUCCUGCCUCAGCCUCCUGAGUAACUGGGACUACAGGUGCCCGCCACCUCGCCCAGCUAGUUUUUUGUGUUUUUUUUAGUAGAGACGGGGUUUUACCGUGUUCACCAGGAUGGUCUCGAUCUCCUGACCUCGUGAUCGCCUGUCUCAGCCUCCCAAAGUGCUGGGAUUACAGGCUUGAGCCACCGCGUCCGGCCACAGAAGUAUUUUUAAAUGAUUGUGUCUUGAUUUGGUUUCUUUGAAAUAAACCAGAAAAACUCACAUGCACAGCCUACACUCAGCACUGAUGAUCUCUUCUUGGUAUUUAUUUACUUAUUUAUUUAGAGAUGGUCUCACUCCUGUCUUAUCAGGUUGGAGUGGCAUAAUCACAGCUCACUGCAGCCUCGACCUCCUGGGCUCAAGCGAUCCUCCCACCUUAGCCUCUCAAGUAGCUGGGACUACAGUCAUGCACCACCACACCCAGCUAAUUUUUUGUAUUUUUAGUAGAGAUGGUGUUUCACCAUGUUGCUCAGGCUAGACUCUGACUCCUGUGCUCUAGCCAUCAGCCUACCUCAGCCUCCCAAAAUGUUGCAAUUAUGGGCGUGAGCCACUGCACCAGGCCUUUUGCUGGUAUUUGCAUGGCCAGGUCUUCGUGUCUGCAUCACUCACUAAGCUACUGUGGUUUAGGGCUGAAGACACGUGGAUUCACGUUGUGUGUCCUGCAGACAACAGCAAUUUCUCAAGUUUCGUGUGCCUUCACAUUCCAUCUGAGUCUUUGCAUGUAGAUGCCCAGAACCCUGUUUUAGCUGAAGGUAAGUGUUGUUCUGGUGGCCGUGGCAGUCUGUGGAUGGAGGCGUCAUAAUGGUUCUCUCAGACCCGUUGCCACUUCCCUCUUCUCCCCCUUGUCUUGCGCUUUGGGAAGAAGUGCUCGUUCGCUCAGCAAGCUUAGAGGCAGCAUCUCCUCUCCGCACAUCCUCCCUGACCCAUGAGAUUGGGUUGGGCAGGUUUCUCUGUACUCUGACUGUUAGGGUAACGCCUCUCACCACCUUAUAAUUCCCACUUUCCUUGUCUUUGAUGUUUUGGAAUAGCCACUCUGUGAGAAGGGUCUUGAUCACCCUUGAACCCUGGCCCCCGGUCUCAUCUACUGAUCUGAAUGGGUGAAGGUGCAGCAGAGGGCUGAUGCCUCCUCGAGGUACAGAUUCCCCAGCCCGACCUACGUCCCUGCCUCUUCUCCGGCCAUGUCACCCUCCCGGGGUGCUGGCUGUCUGCUCCCCAUGGUCACUCUCUGUUCCCUGCCUGGGCUGUGCCCCAGCAAGACUCUGGCUUCACCCACACUUGACAGUGCUUUUCAUUCUGCCUUUUCCUCAUGUCUUUUCUCUCGAACCUAGUUGGAGUGCUGCUUCCCCGGCCCCAAUGCCCGAGUGAGGUCAUGCUCCCAGCCUCCGAAUUCCUCGCUGGGGCUGGGUCCCAGCCUCCACCUCCCCCAGUCUGUCCACAUGCUGUCCUCAGU
ensembl:lncRNA